rnacentral:rRNA from 1 species
UACAGAGGAGCCAAGCGUUGUCCGGAUUGACUGGGCGUAAAGCGCACGCAGGCGGUUGCGCGCGUGGGGUGUGAAAUCUGGCCGCUUAACGGCCAGGCGCCAUCCCAUACGGCACAACUGGAGGGCUGCAGAGGUCGAUGGAAUUGCCGGUGUAGUGGUGAAAUGCGUAGAGAUCGGCAGGAACACCCAGGGGGAAACCAGUCGACUGGGCAGCACCUGACGCUGAGUGCGAGAGCGUGGGGAGCGAAC